UUUUAUUUGAGAGUUUGAUCCUGGCUCAGGAUGAACGCUGGCGGCGUGCCUAACACAUGCAAGUUGAGCGAUUUACUUCGGUAAAGAGCGGCGGACGGGUGAGUAACGCGUGGGUAACCUACCCUGUACACACGGAUAACAUACCGAAAGGUAUGCUAAUACGGGAUAAUAUAUUUGAGAGGCAUCUCUUGAAUAUCAAAGGUGAGCCAGUACAGGAUGGACCCGCGUCUGAUUAGCUAGUUGGUAAGGUAACGGCUUACCAAGGCGACGAUCAGUAGCCGACCUGAGAGGGUGAUCGGCCACAUU
rnacentral:rRNA from 1 species